CCGUGCCUCUCUACCAGCUCACACAGGUGGGUUAGUUCUUCACUAAUAAGCUUGGAAAGUAUUUGAGAGUGAGUGUUCACAUAGAAGCUGCUAUUUGACGGGGCUGAUUUCAGCAGCUUUUUGGAGCACUUUGAACAGUGUUCGAAAGGAGUGAAAUCAAUGCACAGCACUGACCAACUGCCUUAUUUGGAGAGCAGUCUUAAAGAGGAAAAUAAGAAGAAUGUGCUGGGCAUGCAUUUUGCUGAGUCAAGAAGGACGUAAGUGACUCACUGGGCUGUGUGGGAACCAGGACCAGAAUCCAAUUGGUGCACUAACCAGACAACCACGUCAGCCCAGAGAAACGCCUCAAUUCCAAAUGAGCCACCAGGAGCAGCUGCUGCCUAAUGGCACUUCAGCUUACCUCUAGUUCUCCUGGUCUGUUCUCUGACAUCCUGGAAGAGGUUGGUCUUCAUCUAGAACCAGAACCUCUAAUUCAAUCUCAUUUGAAGAGGAGGAAGCAAUGCAGGUGGCAACUGUCCUGAGAAAAUGGAUUGUAGACAGAGAUGUGCAGAUGUUAUUGUCCUGUUUCCUUGCAGCAGGCAAGUUACUUUUACAUGUUCUUAUUCUUUUCCCUUUAUUGAAGCUGUUAAAUACUAGGUUAUCAUAUUCUCCUGGUACAAAACUACAGGAUUGGAUUGUGUAAUAUUUGGCUUCAAUUAAGUCACUUAAUUUCUGUUUCUUCAUUUCCUAUCUGAAGAGAGAGAUGGCUUUAUUUUCUCUCUUCUCAUUUCAAGCUUAUUUGGGAUUCUUUUAGUGUUUGUAGGGGGAAUAGCUGUAGUUAUAACAGCUUAUGUAGUUAUAUACCCUUGUACCUAAAAGUCCAUGCUUACAAAUAACAGUAACACUGCUGUACUCUGUAGCCAUUUCUUCUGAGCAGGAAAGCCAACACAAGAAAGUGGGACUUUGCUUGAGUGAGGUGAGGCCAUGGAGUAAGUAGAGUCGUCGUCCAAGUCUGACACAUUCAGU
ensembl:lncRNA